rnacentral:rRNA from 1 species
UCAGGAUGAACGCUAGCUACAGGCUUAACACAUGCAAGUCGAGGGGCAGCAUGACCUAGCAAUAGGUGAUGGCGACCGGCGCACGGGUGAGUAACACGUAUCCAACCUACCGGUUAUUCCGGGAUAGCCUUUCGAAAGAAAGAUUAAUACCGGAUAGUAUAGCGAGAAGGCAUCUUCUUGUUAUUAAAGAAUUUCGAUAACCGAUGGGGAUGCGUUCCAUUAGUUUGUGGCGGGGUAACGGCCACCAAGACAUCGAUGGAUAGGGGUUCUGAGAGGAAGGUCCCCCACAUUGGAACUGAGACACGGUCCAAACUCCUACGGGAGGCAGCAGUGAGGAAUAUUGGUCAAUGGACGAGAGUCUGAACCAGCCAAGUAGCGUGAAAAGGAUGACUGCCCUAUGGGUUGUAAACUUCCUUUAUAUGGGAAUAAAGUGAGCCACGUGUGGCUUUUUGUAUGUACCAUACGAAUAAGGAUCGGCUAACUCCGUGCCAGCAGCUGC